UCCUCUUCCUCCUCAGCCUACUCAGCAUGAAAUUAUGAGUACAAAAACCUUUAUGAUGACCUACCUCCACUUGGAUCAAUGAAGAAACCAGAACUCGGGACAACUUCUAUCAAGAAAAGAAGCUGCUCAUCUGAAAGACAGCAGCACAUCCAUGUGCCAGGCAUGCUCUUCUUUCAGUCCAUAGUUAAGUUGAGGUGUACAUAUAUGAACCUGUGUACUUGUGUUAUACUCACCAGAACUCCACAGCAUCACAAGCUGGGACAACAUCCUCACACUGUGGAGCAAGAAGACAACUUAAUUAAGAGACAGCAUUUAAUGACAAGGAAAGAAAAUGUUCCUUAUCUCGUAAAUUCCUUCGCUAAUGGAAUCUUCCAGCCCACCCUGGGUAAGUAGGUUG